UGGGAUGUAGCUCAGAGGUAGCGCGCUCACCUACGAUGUGUGAGGCACUGGGUUCCAUCCUCAGCACCACAU
rnacentral:tRNA from 1 species